GCCUGGGUGGCUCAGUGGUUGAGCGCCUGUCUUCCGCCCAGGGCAUGAUCCUGGAGUCCUGGGAUCAAGUCCCACAUCAGGCU
rfam:Canis lupus familiaris chromosome 1, whole genome shotgun sequence.